CUUUGGGUCCCUCCCUUUGUAUGGGAGCUCUGCUUUCACUCUAUUAAAUCUUGCAACUGCACUCUCUUCCAGUCCGUGUUUGUUAGGGCUGGAGCUGAGCUUUCGCUCGCCAUCCACCACUGCCGUUUCCGGCCACUGCAGACCCGCCACUGACUUCCAUCCGUCCAGAUCCAGCAGGGAGUCCGCUGUGCUCCUGAUCCAGUGAGGUACCCAUUGCCGCUCCUGAUCAGGCUAAAGGCUUGCCCUUAUUCCUGCACAGCUAAGUGCCUGGGUUCGCCCUAAUGGAGCUGAACACUAGUCACUUGGUUCCACAGUUCUCUUCCGUGACCCAUGGCUUCUAAUAGAGCUGUAAUACUCACCGCAUGGCCCGAGAUUCCAUUCCUUGGAAUCCGUGAGCCCAAGAACCCCAGGUCAGAGAACACAAGGCUUGCCACCAUCUUGGAAGCGGCCUGCGGCCAGUUUGGAAGCGGCCCGUGGCCAUUUUGCAAGCAGCCCGCCACCAUCUUGGGAGCUCUGGGAGCAAGGACCCCCUGGUCACACAAUCGCUGAACUACAGCCCUCUGCUUCUGGCUCCCAACUUUCUGAAGCACUGUGGGGAAGAUGGUUCUUCACCAAUCCUGCAAUCCAACGGCCACCCAGUAAAAUGAGGAACAGACAUUCUUCCCAGCCCUGUGGGCUAGACGAGUAGCUAGUGUCUCUUCUAUAGCCAGGAGACUGGAAGAAGCCAGCAGGCAAUGUAGUCAUUUGGUAAUGUUCUUCCUACUGCCAAGAUGGAUUAAUGCUGGGAGACCUUACAACGGGUACUUUCUUACACCCUGCCCACUGGACCAUGGGCCUCUGUGGUUCACUGGUUAACACUUGCCUAAUCAACUAGACAAACACAGGACGGGACAGCUGGGCGCUGAGCUGCCAGGGCACAUGUGGGAGCUGCUUCAAGACUGACCACGAGGCCAAAUUAAUCUAAGAACCUGUUGCAAGAGCAAAUGCUGUGAAGGCAAGAUGGAGGUGUCCCUGGGGGCCCAGUGGCUUCUCAGUGAAUGGGCUUCCAUUCUUCUUUUCUGCUUGACCAGCCUAAAAACAAGAGGCUGGCCUCACAGAGGAUUCUUCUUAGAAGAUAUUGCAGAGCCACUUAUAAGACCAACGUAUUUCACAGCCCAAUAUCCUUACUGACAUCUCAGACCACCCCUCUCCCCACCUUCUUUUAAUCACUUUCUUUUCUCCUCCAGGGCACAAACAGCUUUUAUGCAAAUUAUCUCUCAGGACAGGUGUGAGGGCUUUCCGCAAAGAAAGACUGAUCGCAUCCAAGGUCCUUUAUCCCUUAGAGGGCUCCCCAGGGACAAGCAACCUGUUCUGCCCCAGGGCUGCCGGACGCCCAGUUUUCCUGCUGUCUCUCAUCACAGGGGCGGUGGGGCGCGCCCGCCUCCAGCCUGGCUCUGGACCCGGGGCCCCGCCACCUCCCAGCAGCGGGCGCAGAGAGCCUUCUGGUUACCCCCGAAGCUGAGGAUUGCAGUGUUCUAGCAAUGGAUGAAAUCCUUUUUAACCGACUGUAAUAAAAAUAAGAUUGUGAAUAACAUGUGACUAUAGACCUCCAAAAAACUGGCGGCUGUG
rnacentral:lncRNA from 1 species